rnacentral:rRNA from 1 species
GACGAACGCUGGCGGCGUGCUUAACACAUGCAAGUCGAACGGUAAGGCCCUUCGGGGUACACGAGUGGCGAACGGGUGAGUAACACGUGGGUGAUCUGCCCUGCACUUCGGGAUAAGCCUGAGAAACUGGGUCUAAUACCGGAUAGGACCACUGCCUGCAUGGGUGGUGGUGGAAAGCUUUUGCGGUGUGGGAGGGGCCCGCGGCCUAUCAGCUUGUUGGUGGGGUGAUGGCCUACCAAGGCGACGACGGGUAGCCGGCCUGAGAGGGUGACCGGCCACACUGGGACUGAGAUACUGCCCAGACUCCUACGGGAGGCAGCAGUGGGGAAUAUUGCACAAUGGGCGCAAGCCUGAUGCAGCGACGCCGCGUGAGGGAUGACGGCCUUCGGGUUGUAAACCUCUUGCAGCACCGACGAAGCGCAAGUGACGGUAGGUGCAGAAGAAGGACCGGCCAACUACGUGCCAGCCGCCGCGGUAA